CACAUUCACUGCCUGGGGUGUGCAGACCUGCACAGGGGCUGAGCUGACCUAGUAUCCAAUGAAUUUCUAUUAAAUCCAGCUUCCCAGAGGUGAAAGGUGAGUUCAUGAGCUGCCACAUGAUUUAGGAUUUAAGACCAUCUUAUUCCGUCCUUUUCUGUUACUUUCUCUAGAUGACAAUCAUAACUCCAGCACACAGAAUUCAUUCUUACUUGCUAGGUGUUGACAUUGUGUCUAGAUAAUAAACAACCUAUAGUAUGAAUGCAUAGCUAACUAACUCCGUACUCAAGAUACCCUUUAUUUUUUAAGUAGAGAAAUGUGCAAGUCUGACCUUUAUGGUAUGUGGGGUUAAAGAGUAUAUUUAAGAGAUGAAGAGCUAUUGAGGACAAGAAGUUAGAAAAUGCAACAUGGAGUUGUACUCUUUAAGGCAGUGAUCUGUGUUUAACUAACUGAUCUUCAGUAAUGCGUUUACUGACACUACGUAGUGUCACUGUGACACUACAUAGAAAGUACAUAGAAAGAUAGGGGUUCAGCUAGGGAAAUCCGAGAACUUUGAAAGUGUGAGAUGAAUUGUGAGAAUUUAACAGGAAAGAGGCAAUUGCCUCUCUGAAAGAGAUUUCUGGAAGAAAGUUGCUUAGUGUCAGCCCUCAAUACUAAUACUGAAACCAAUCUUAUUCUGUAUCUUCUGUAAUGUAAUGACCUCAUCAUGAAGAGCUGGUGAGUACGCAAAAGUGAUUUACAGAUGUGUGAAAUUGAAAGACUGUCAGUAAAGUGAGACAACUGUCAAUACAGCAAGUGGGAAGAACUAGAAAACAGAAAUGGAAUGAAGCUAAGUAUUGUGAAGUCACGCACUUAGAGACUAGUAACAGAACUCCUACUGCAAGCACUGGCUUAUUACUUGGAAAUUAUUAAGAAGAAAAACAAAGCCUAUUAUUAUUUGAUCAUUGGAUGACUAUGAGUGUAAUAUGUCCAUUAAAAAAGCAAGAAGAAUCUUCAGAAAUGCAAGAUGAAAUGUUUCCAAGAGAAAUAAGGAAGCAUUAAUAUCACUGGACAAGGCUUGAGUUUUCAUUCGGAGACCAAAGCUAUGCAAGGCAGAACCUUAGACUGGAUCAGGUCUGAAGAAGAGGGCUGGGCCAACUGCUGUGUAUCAAGGCAUUGUAACAGGCUUAUCCUCAUAGAGAACUGUUUACAUUGAAGGAAAAGCUGGCACAAGGACAAUGAAUGCAAGAGCAUCCUGGGAUGCAUAAGGAAGAGCACUGCCAGCAGGCCAAGGAAGGUGAUACUUGCUCUCCACUCAGCACUGGCAAGACCACAAAUGAAGUGUUGUGCCCAGCUAUAGGCACUCCAGUAGAAGACAGAUGUGGGCACAUUGAGACUCAUUCCCUUCCAUACUGUUAGAACAACUGUGCACAGAACUCUGUCUGAUCCAGCACUUGAUUCACAAGAAAGAGACUAAAAUCAUCUGUACAGAGAGACGGUCAAGAACAGUAAAUAACUAAUAUCAGAACAGAGGCAGCUCUGGAGUCUGGAAGCAUUCAGACUCGUGGGGAAUGGGGCUGAAUGCGAAGACCCUCAUAACAUUAACACAUCAACAUGAAGCUGUGUGUAUAGAGGGUGACAGCUGUACUCAUCUAGGACAGAUACUUAGCAGUCCAUUCAGUUACAUUAGCGAAGCCCAAUUCUCAAUACCUUGUUUGGACUUGUAUGAGGAGAUAGCAGAAGUAGAGGAUUAGCCACAGAGGACUGUGGGCCAUGAUGAGAAAGAGCUGUCUUGGAAGAGUGCAUAUUGAGGGAUCCUCGUGGAAAAGCAAUAGUAACCUCUCUGCAAAAUCCUGGGAAACAUUUAUACUGUGGCAUUAAUUUUAAGUCACAGGAAAUCAUUGCGGUAUUAACUAAGGACACAUGAGGUCACAUUUGAGAUGCUGACCGCCAUUCUAUUCACCUUAUAAAAGAAGAAUUUUAUGGAAAAGUACCAGGGGGCAAUAGAGAUGAUUCAGGCACACAGAUUUUAAAGGUUAGAUAAACUGGAUCUGCAUUCCUUGCUGAAAAAUGAGAUUAUUGGACUUAGUAAAGUAGUGCAGGCAACUUCUGAGAAAGGAAGAAAAAACUGCUGUAGUCUGCUUGAGCCAGGGCGCAUGAAUGUCAUCAGCAAAGGAACAGACAAGUUAAACUACCAAUGAAGCGCAAUGAAGGAAUGAAUUAUCUGGGAGAGAAAUAGAAAGCUGCUAAAUAAAAUGUUGAAACAAUGUGAGGGAAUUAUUUAGAGAGGAAAAAAAUUACGGUCUGACAGGAUAAGAUAACCUUGGGCAGUACUCUUCAAGUAAGGAAUAAAAUAUUAAUCCAGCUGGGUUCCAAUAAGCAGUGUACUGGAGGAAAACCAUGCUUGGCUACAAGCAUAAUUGCAGGAGUCACAACGCAAGCAGCACGAAAUACUAUACAAUGAUCAAUGGAUCAAAAGAUGCAUCUCUCUCUAGAUCAUGAGAAUAGGAUUAUACCACCAGCACAAAAAAUCUGAGGGGGCUGGGAAGUGCCACAGAUUUCCUGUUUUCUGAGUUCCCUAUAAAUUAGAUGGUCCCACAGGACUAGAAGGGAUAACAGUUCUCCAAAAUUGAUGAGUAUUAAAGAUUACAGGAGGAAAUCCCCUGGAUAUCAGAGCAUGUCAGGAGGUCUGAAACAUCACUUUUGGGGCUGCCUGCUCUCACGCUGUGCUUCCAGGCACAUCCCUGUGGCAACACAGGUUUUUCUGAGUCACAUUCCACUCAUUUUCCUGCAUAUGGGGGCACAGCGUAAGGUGAGUUCUCAUAGGACAUACCAGAAGCAAAGAAAUGCCUUCCCGGCUCAAUAAAGGCUGAUGUUUCCAGAGAUGCUUUCUCCUGUUCUUUUGUUUCCUUGCUCAAUAACAUCUCAUCAGUACCAUAUGUGAAAGCCUGUUAC